AUUGAACGCUGGCGGCAUGCCUUACACAUGCAAGUCGAACGGCAGCACGGGUGCUUGCACCUGGUGGCGAGUGGCGAACGGGUGAGUAAUACAUCGGAACGUACCUUAUCGUGGGGGAUAACGCAGCGAAAGUUACGCUAAUACCGCAUACGAUCUGAGGAUGAAAGCGGGGGACCGUAAGGCCUCGCGCGAUUGGAGCGGCCGAUAUCAGAUUAGGUAGUUGGUGAGGUAAAGGCUCACCAAGCCAACGAUCUGUAGCUGGUCUGAGAGGACGACCAGCCACACUGGAACUGAGACACGGUCCAGACUCCUACGGGAGGCAGCAGUGGGGAAUUUUGGACAAUGGACGCAAGUCUGAUCCAGCCAUUCCGCGUGCAGGAUGAAGGCCCUCGGGUUGUAAACUGCUUUUGUACGGAACGAAAAGGUCUCUCCUAAUACGAGGGGCUCAUGACGGUACCGUAAGAAUAAGCACCGGCUAACUACGUGCCAGCCGCCGCCGUAA
rnacentral:rRNA from 1 species